rnacentral:rRNA from 1 species
CCUAGGUGGCUGCAGUGGGGAAUAUUGGACAAUGGGCGAAAGCCUGAUCCAGCCAUGCCGCGUGUGUGAAGAAGGCCUUCGGGUUGUAAAGCACUUUCAGUGGGGAAGAAAGCCUUGGGGCUAAUACCCUCGAGGAAGGACAUCACCCACAGAAGAAGCACCGGCUAACUCCGUGCCAGCAGCCGCGGUAAUACGGAGGGUGCGAGCGUUAAUCGGAAUUACUGGGCGUAAAGCGCGCGUAGGCGGUCUGAUAAGCCGGUUGUGAAAGCCCCGGGCUCAACCUGGGAACGGCAUCCGGAACUGUCAGGCUAGAGUGCAGGAGAGGAAGGUAGAAUUCCCGGUGUAGCGGUGAAAUGCGUAGAGAUCGGGAGGAAUACCAGUGGCGAAGGCGGCCUUCUGGACUGACACUGACGCUGAGGUGCGAAAGCGUGGGUAGCAAACAGGAUUAGAUACCCGGGUAGUC